rnacentral:rRNA from 1 species
AGAGAUCAUGGCUCAGAAUCAACGCUGGCGGCGUGCCUAACACAUGCAAGUCGAACGCGAAAGCCCCGCAAGGGGUGAGUAGAGUGGCAAACGGGUGAGUAACGCGUGGGUGACCUGCCGUGGAGUGGGGGAUAACGUUUCGAAAGGAACGCUAAUACCGCAUCAUAUGCUGCCUUUGAAGAGGCGGACAUCAAAGCCGGGGAUCGCAAGACCUGGCGCUCGACGAGGGGCCCGCGUCUGAUUAGCUAGUUGGUGGGGUAAUGGCUCACCAAGGCAUCGAUCAGUAUCCGGCCUGAGAGGGCGGACGGACACACUGGGACUGAGACACGGCCCAGACUCCUACGGGAGGCAGCAGUGGGGAAUUGUUCGCAAUGGGCGCAAGCCUGACGACGCAACGCCGCGUGGAGGAUGAACACCUUCGGGUCGUAAACUCCUUUCGAUCGAGACGAAUAGCCGCCGGCUGAACAGGCCGGCGGUCUGACGGUACCGAGAGAAGAAGCCCCGGCUAACUCCGUGCCAGCAGCCGCGGUAAUACGGGGGGGGCAAGCGUUGUUCGGAAUUACUGGGCGUAAAGGGCUCGUAGGUGGCCAACUAAGUCAGACGUGAAAUCCCUCAGCUUAACUGGGGAACGGCGUCCGAUACUGGAUGGCUUGAGUUCGGGAGAGGGAUGCGGAAUUCCAGGUGUAGCGGUAAAUGCGGUAUAUAUCUGG